rnacentral:lncRNA from 1 species
GGUUUUCCUUCACCCGCACUCUGGACCGGGCCCCAUAUGGACGCCCCUCCUGACGCAGCCCCCGAUCCUGCUCUGCCCUCUGUGGCUGCUGCCUGCCUGGAUCCCACAGACGUACCCCCGACAUCAAAGACAAAUCCAGACUUGGGUGAAGUCUUGGCCCACGUCUCUAACACCUUGAGAUGCCACCCCAAGGGUAUGAGGGUGAAGCCACUGAUGAAGAGGCUGCGGAAGGAGCAUGGGGUGGAUCUGUUGGCAUUCAGCCAGGACGGAGGGUACCGGGGAGUCGUGUCCUUCCUGCAGGAGAUGCCGGGUGAGGCUGUGAAGCCCCCUGCCCCACAGCCCCCCCCAGGCCUUGCUCCCCCAUCAGCCCGGCACAGCAGCAGCCCCCCGCCCGAUGCCCCUGCCAACGGGGGGCUGACGGGAGCCCCAGGGGAGACGCCCGGCUUGGCCGAGUUCUCGGCCUGGGUGCGGGACGUGCUGGGCCGUUUCCCGCUGGGGCUGAAGGUGGGCAAGCUGAAGGAGGCGCUGCGGAGCGAGCGUGGGCUGGACCUGGAGGAGCUGAGCCAUCAGCGGGGCUGCAGGGACGCCCUGCACCUGCUCCAGGCUCUGCCCCACCUCUGGCUGCGGGACCCAGAGAAGGGCGAUGCCUGCCUGGCCCGGCUGGACGCGGAUGCUGCUGUUAAUGCCCCCACCCCCUCCCAGCCUGCUGAGGUGGGGGGGCCGGGCGCCGUGGGCCCAGCGAGGCGGACGCAGGGCCAGCGUCGGGUGGCAAAGCCCGGCGCAAUGGAGACGUUGAUCCAGGGCACCCUGGCCCCCUACCCCUUUGGCAUCCGGGUGAAGAACCUGCGGAAGCUGCUGGCAGGGAAGCAUGGAGCUGAGCUGGA